rnacentral:lncRNA from 10 species
AGCGAUUUUCUCUGCUUGGAAGAGAGUCCUCUCAGAAGGGAACAAAUCGGACGGCCUUCAUUCAUUCCUUCCUUUCUUCCAUAAAUCUUUACUGAGCACCUGCCAUGUGCCAGCUGUUCUGGAUGCUGGAGACAGAGGAGUGGACAGGGAAGAGAAACUCUCAUGGAAGUUAGGCAACAGAAGCUUCAGGAGAGCAGAGACCUUCAUCAUCUUGUUCACUGCUUCAUCUUCGAUACCUGAUGGAUGUGCAGAGAUGCCUCGAGUACCUGGGAGUGACUGAACAGCCCCCUCCUGAACAUUACUCAUGUUUUGAGUUCUGUGAGAAGUAAAACACAGAGUACAACAGAUGGAGACAAAAUAUUACUUUUAUAGAAGCUUAUUUUUGAGAAUGUGGCUUAGGGCUCCCUCCUUCUGGAUCCUUACCUUCUUGGGCACAACAAUCCUGAAUCCAGGUUAUCUCCCCAAAUGGAAACUGCAGGAUCUGAGCCACCAACCAAGGCAACUCAGCUGAUGCUGUAACAACCACAGAAACUGCGACUAGUGGUCCUACAGUAGCUGCAGCUGAUACCACUGAAACUAAU